GACGAACGCUGGCGGCGUGCUUAACACAUGCAAGUCGAACGGAAAGGCCCUGCUUUUGUGGGGUGCUCGAGUGGCGAACGGGUGAGUAACACGUGAGUAACCUGCCCUUGACUUUGGGAUAACUUCAGGAAACUGGGGCUAAUACCGGAUAGGAGCUCCUGCUGCAUGGGGGGGGUUGGAAAGUUUCGGCGGUUGGGGAUGGACUCGCGGCUUAUCAGCUUGUUGGUGGGGUAGUGGCUUACCAAGGCUUUGACGGGUAGCCGGCCUGAGAGGGUGACCGGCCACAUUGGGACUGAGAUACGGCCCAGACUCCUACGGGAGGCAGCAGUGGGGAAUAUUGCACAAUGGGCGGAAGCCUGAUGCAGCAACGCCGCGUGCGGGAUGACGGCCUUCGGGUUGUAAACCGCUUUCGCCUGUGACGAAGCGUGAGUGACGGUAAUGAGUAAAGAAGCACCGGCUAACUACGUG
rnacentral:rRNA from 1 species